UACGGAGGGUGCAAGCGUUAUCCGGAUUCACUGGGUUUAAAGGGUGCGUAGGUGGCGCUGUAAGUCGGGUGUGAAAUCCUGAGGCUUAACCUCGGAACUGCAUUCGAUACUGCGGUGCUUGAGGACUGGAGGGGAGAAUGGAAUUCCCGGUGUAGCGGUGAAAUGCGCAGAUAUCGGGAGGAACACCGGUGGCGAAGGCGGAUCUCUGGGCCAUUACUGACGCUGAGGAGCGAAAGCGUGGGGAGCGAACAGG
rnacentral:rRNA from 1 species